rfam:Coprinopsis cinerea okayama7#130 chromosome 9 cont3.9, whole genome shotgun sequence.
GCCAACGUAGCACAAUGGUAGUGCGUUGCUUUCCUACCUGUAGCCCUUGGGGUUAGGGUUCAAGGCAAAGGUUGUGGGUUCGAUCCCCAUCGUUGGUU